CGUUCCAUAGUGCAGUGGUUAACACGUCUGCUUUACACGCAGAAGUUCCUGGGUUCAUGCCCCAGUGGAGCCA
rnacentral:tRNA from 1 species